rnacentral:lncRNA from 1 species
AGGGCGGAAGCCACGGGACGUGGAGCAGAUGGUGAGGAUAGUGGGGAGGUAGCAGCAGAGGAUGACCCGAGGCAAAAGUGCAAGUGAAGAAAAGUCGCCUUGCCGGGCAGAGGUACGGGACCAAGGCGCCUCCUCUGGGCUGAGGAGUUAGAGGGAAGAAAAUGGCGCCCUGUCAUGAGGGCGCGAGGUCCGAGUUGAGGGGAGAAGACUGAGGGACACAGAAGUGGCCGAAGUGAGGGCGCUGAGGUCAGCCUGAGCUGAGAGGGCCGGCAGAUCACGCCGCAGCCGAAGUGAACGAACUCGAGUGAGAUGGAAUGUUGCUCUGUCACCCAGGCUGGAGUGCAAUGGCAUGAUCUCGACUCACUGCAACCUCUGCCUCCUGGGUUCAAGCAAUUCUUCGGCCUCAGCCUCCCGAGUAGCUGGGACUACAGGCACCUGCCACCACGCCUGGCUAAUUUUUUGUAUUUUUAGUAGAGACGGGGUUUCACUGUGUUAGCCAGGAUGGUCUCGAUCUCCUAACCUCGUGAUCCACCUGCCUUGGCCUCCCAAAGUGCUGGGAUUACUGGCGUGAGCCACCACGCCUGGCCGUUCCGUAUUUCCUUUAUGUUUUAUUUUGCUGUUAUUUGCCUAGCAUAUUCAAGGUACCAAAUUAAGUAUUGAUUGAUGGUAAUAGUGAUAACAUUAAGACUUGGAGAUCAGGUUAAAGACAGAUAUGCACCAUGAAUCCGUAAUUGAAUAAGACAGAAGGAAAUUUAAUUAGCCUUUUUCCUGUGUCCAUAGCAGUGCUUUAAUAAGAACAAUAGAAAAGUCUUUUUUUUUUCCUUUAAAUUGCUAAUCCAGGAUGUUUUCGAUGCUUUUAUGGAAGUCAGCUAACUAAAUACCUUGAGAGAACAGCAAUACCAUCAAAUUACAUCUGUCUGUGACAUUUUCUCUAGGAUGGGACUAACAAAUUUGAUCUGUUUUUUUUUAAUAUGUAUUAAUUCACACUUAUUGCAUUACAACAAGGUUUUUGUCUUCUUAGCUCUUCUCUUUUUCAGGAAAUUACUCCAGGAUUUGAAUCAUCACAAGAGAUUCACCAGAGGAUUUUAUACACUUGGGCUGUGGCAGCAGACUAAUUACAUCACAGCACUAGGUAAGAUACCGGGAGUCCGGAUCCUCAGGACUUAUGAAAAUAAAAAGCAUUACUGUAAUAUUAGUGCUAUUUAUUGGAGUUAUCUAUGAAAAGAAUCUUAUUAAUCUGCUUUUUUAUUAGCUCACUUAGCAAAUAUUUAUUGCAUACCAACUAUGUGCCAGGCAUUGUUCCAGGUGUUUGGGCCACAUCAGGGACCAAAAAAGACCAAAAUUCCUGUCCUCGUGGAUCUCACAUUCUAGUAUUCCUUUCCAUAUGCAUUAGCUUGCUAGGGUUUCCAUAACAAAAUAUGACAGACUGGGUAGCUUAAACAACAGGAAUUAAAUUUUUUUUUUUUUUUUUUUUACACUUCUAGAGGCUAGAAGUGCAAGAACAAGAUGUUAGCAGGGUUGGUUUCUCCUAAGGACCAUGAAGGAAGGAUCUGUUCCAGGCCUCUGUCUUUGACUUGUAGAUAAAUGUCUUCUUCCUGUGUCUUCACAUUGUUUUUUGUUUGUGUGUCCGUGUCCAAAUUUCUUCUUCUUAGAAGGAUACCAGUCAUAUUCAAUUAGAGUCCAUCCUAAUGACUUCAUUUUAACUUAAUUACCUCUUUAAAGAUCCUUUAUCCCAAGAUAGUCACAUGCUGAGAUAUAUGGUGUUAGGACUUCAACAUGUGAAUUUUGGGGGAACACAGCCCAUAAUAUCACAUAUGAUUACUGUGUAUCCACAUCUUUGUGUUGUCUGUGUUCUCCUAUCCACAUCCCUGAGAUAUCCAAAGCCAUUUAUGUUUACUUGCAAAAUGUGUCCAGUGACCUGUAAUUAUGAGUGAUUACUUUUCUAGGUAUGACUUAUUAUUUUGAAAGUUUUACUUUUUAAUUGACAUAUAAUAGAGGUAUAAAUUUUCAGGGCACAUGUGAUUAUUAAAUACAUUUGUAUAAUUUGUAAAGGUCAAAUCAGUGUAAUUGGGAUAUCUAUCACCUUGUUUGUUUUUUAUUUAUGUUAGAAACAUUUGAAUUAUUCUCUUUUCGCUAUUUUGAAAUAUACAAGACAUAAUUUAAUUUUAAGCUAUACUAAAAAGUUCUUGGUUAGGAAGGAUUAUUCUACUUGGAAUGAUGCUCCAUCUAGUGUUCACCAUAUUCUACUACUUUUGUUAAAGUUUUAAAAAUGAAUAAAGGGGAAACUGUGUUGAAGAAGGGGUCCUCUAUUUAACAGUUAGGUUCUUACUCACAGAGCACUAUGGAUUCAUAGUAAAAAAAAAAAUAUUGUUUCAAAUACCAUAUGUGGGAGGAAAGAGCGGUCUAUAUAAGACAUUACUUUUAAUAAUUCAAGAAAUAUCGUUACCAUCAUUUACUGUCACCACCAGUUACGAUGUACUUUUAUCCCAUGAGGAGACUGAGACUGAGUUUAGUCAUUUACCCAAAAUUUCACAGAUCUUGGUCAGGUACAAGUCAGUGAUGGAGAUAUUGUUUGCCCUACAUACACUGUGUAAUUCCUGAAUUUGAACUCCUAAUUAUUCAGAAUAAAUAAAAAGAGACAAAAAGACACAAACUUGUCCUGAUGCACUUUUUAGAUAUGAACACAUGUAAGCAUAUACCUAAUUGGGUACUGAAGUUUCCCUUCAAUUUUAGUACAUUUUAAUCCUUGUCUUAUAUUGAAAUGUUAUCUUUUUGUUCAGUAUUUUAUCAUUGUUGAUGUGCUGUGUCAGAAUGUGUCUGUCCAUCUUAGAUAGUAAAUUUAUAAAUGACAGGACUUAAUCCACAACCAAAUCAGCAUAUUAUAGUUUAUUUCAUUGUAUAUCUUGAAUGAAAUUGAAAAAUUUAAAUAACUAUUUAAAAGUUUGGACUUUCCUCUUUGUAGUUUUAAAACAUAAUUUUUGUUUUUCUCUUGUACAAGUUGAAUGGGGCAGCUUGACUGCUUGGAGACAUCAGGAAAGACUUCCAGGGAAACAGGAGUUUAGUAGGAUAAACAUGGCUUACAAUAGGAUGCUUCAGGAAUACAGAAAGGUCCUUGUAAAUUCAUAGGCGUGUGUCAGAGCUUGACACUUUUGGGUAAAUGUAAGUAGUAACAGUGCAGGCAGUGGUGUUGAAAAAUGACAGUGGAUUAAAAGGCAUAGCCUAAACUUAAAAGAUAACUAUGAAGCUGCUCAAAGAGCUUAACAAUGGGAGUGGAAUGAACAUAUUGGACUUAUCAAAAUAUUAUAUAAUGGACAAUCUAAAUAGGCUUAUAUAUAUUAAAUAAUUGAAUUAAUAAUGAUAAUUUCUAGAACAGAAAGCACCAAGUCCAGAUGGGCUCAUUGGCAAAUCCUACCAAAUAUUUAAGAAAAAUAUUGUACCAAUGCUCUAUAAUCUUUCAGAAGACAGAAGCAGAGGAAACAUUUCCUAACUCAUUUUAUGAGGCCAUAAUUACUCUAAUAUCUAAUACCAAAAUCAGACAGAGACAUUAGAAAAAAAGAAAACUACAGACAAAUAUGGCUUAUGAACAUAGAUGCAAAAGUCCUCAACAAAAUAUUAGCAAAUCCAAUCCAAUGAUGUAUAAAGAUAAUUAUGCAUUAUGACCAAGUGCAGUUUAUUCUAAUAAUGCAAAUCUGGUUCACCAUUUGAAAAUCAAUUAAUGUAAUCUGUCAUAUCAACAGGCUAAAGAAGAAAAAUCACAUGAUCAUAUCAAUAGAUGCAGAAAAAGCAUCUGACAAAAACCAGCUCUCAUUCAUGAUCAGAACUCUCAGCAAACUAGUAAUAGAGGGGAACUUACUCAACUUGAUAAAGAACAUAUGCAAAAAUCUUUCAGCUAACAUCGUACUUAAUGGUAAGAAAUUGAAGCUUUCCCACUAAGAUCAGGAGCAAGGCAAGGACGUCUCCUUUGACCAACCCUUUUCAACAUCAUAUUUAUUGGAAGUCCUAGCUAAUGCAAUAAGACAAGAAAAAGAAGUAAAAAGUAUACAGAUUGGGAAGAAGAAAAUAGAACUGCCUUUGUUUGCAGAUGACAUGAUUAUCUAUGUAGAAAAUCUGAAAGAAUUGACCAAAAAAACCCUCCUGGAGCUAAUAAGCAAUGAUAACAAGGUGGCAAAAAUAGGUUGAUAUACAAAAGUUAAUUGCUUUCCUAUAUGCCAGCAACAAACAAAUGAGAUUUGAAAUUAAAACCAAAAUCCCAUUUACAAUAAUACCCCCAACUUAAAUACUUAGGCAUAAAACUAACAAAAAUAUGUAAGACCUUUAUAAGGGAAGUUAUAAAACUCUGAUGAACAUAUAAAAAGCUAAAUAAAGGAGAGAGAUUCCAUGUUUAUGGAUAGGAAGACUCAAUAUUACCAAGACAUCACUUCUUCCCAACUUGAUGUAUAGAUCCAAGGCAGACCAAACCAAAAUCCCAGAAAAUAAUUUCCUGGAUAUUAACAGAAUCUUUUUUUUUUUUUUUUUUUUUCCUGAAACGGAGUCUCACUGUGUUGCCCAGGCUGGAGUGCAGUGGGGCGAUCUCGGCUCACUGCAAGCUCCGCCUCCCAGGUUCACACCAUUCUCCUGCCUCAGCUUCCCGAGUAGCUGGGACUACAGGCGCCCGCCACCACGCCCGGCUAAUUUUUUGUAUUUAUAGUAGAGAUGGGGUUUCACCCUGUUCACCGGGAUGGUCUCAAUCUCCUGACCUCGUGAUCCCCCCGCCUCGGCCUCCCAAAGUGCUGGGAUUGCAGGCGUGAGCCACUGUGCCCGGCCUAUUAACAGAUUCUUAAGUUUAUAAGGACAGGCAAAAGACCUAGUAUAGCAAACAUAAUAUUGAAGAAGCACAAAGUUGGAGGACUGUCACUACCUGACUUCAAGACUUACUAUAAAGCUACAGUAAUAAGGACAGUAUGGUAUUUGCAAAAUAAUAGAAAAAUAGAUCAAUGGAACAGAAUAGAGAGCACAGGUAUAGACCCAUACAAAUACUAUCAACUGAUUUUUUUUAUAAAGGAGCAAAGGGAAUACAAUGGAGAAAAGAUAAGUUUUCAACAAAUGGUGCUGAACAAGGGGAUGUUCACAUGCAAAAAGAUGAAUCUAGACACAGAUCUUAAACUUCACAAAAAUCAGCUCAAAAUGGAUUAUAGACUGAAAUGUAAAAUGCUAAACUAUGAAACUCCUAGAAGAUAACAGAAGAAAAUCUAGAUGACCUUGGGUUUGAGGUGAAUAUUUUAGAUCCAACACCAAAGGCAUGAUCCAUGAAAGAAAUAAUUGAUAAGUUGUACUUCAUUAAAUUAAAAACGUUUAAUCUGUGAAAGCACUGUCAAGAGAAUGAAAUGACAAGCCACAGACUGGGAGAAAACAUUUGCAAAAUACAUUUGAUAAAGGACUGGGGUCCAAAGUACUCUAAAAACUCACCAAAGAAGACAUACAGAUAGCAAAUAAGCAUAUGAAAUUGUCGACAUUGUAUGCCAUUAGCAAAUUGCAAAUUAAAACGAGAUACCACUACAUACAUAUUAGAAUGGCUCAAAUGCAAAACAUUAACAACAUCAAAUGCCAAAUGCUGGUGCAGCAAGAACUCUUCAUUCAUUGCUGGUGGGAAUGCAUAAUGGUAGAGCCGUUACACAGUGCCAAUCAUAAUCCGAAAGACAAAAUCCCAAAUGCCAUAAUCUCAAAUGCCUAUGAAGUGUUCGGUUGUGUUUUUAUGUUUCUCAAACAAACCUCCUUUACAAAUGUAAGUAAAUGUCUUUAAAAAAUUGUUUUUUAAUUAUCUUUCCAGAAUUAUAUUGUGAUUUUGGUCUAUCAGGAUCAGGAUUUUUGGGAUUUUAGACUUUAGGGAUUUUGAUCUUUUGGGAUUUCAACAUUUGAUAUUACAGCAUUUGCAAUUGUAUCUUUCAGGAGUAUGGCCCAAACCCCAGCCAUGUAGAAAACAAUUUGAUAAUUUCUUAAAAAACUAAACACCCAGCCACUGUUGAAAAUAGUUUGUCAAUUUCUUAAAAAAACUAAACACACUUUUGCCAUACAAUCCAGUAAUCAUGAGCCUUGGUAUUUACUCAGAUGAGUUGAAAAGUUAUGUCCACAUAAAACCUGCAUGCAGAUGUUUAUAGCAGCUUUAUUCAUAAUUGUCAAAAAUUGGAGGCAACCAAAUUGUCUCUUAGUAGGUGAAUGGAUGAAUAAACUGUAGUACAUCCAGACAAUGGAAUAUUUUUCAGUGCUAAAAAGAAAUAAGCUAUCAGCUGGGUGCAGUGGCUCACGCCUAUAAUCCCAGCAGUUUGAGAGGCCGAGGUGGAUGGAUCACUUGUGCCCAAGAGUUCGAGACCACCCUGGCCAACAUGGCAAAAACCCAUCUCUACAAAAAAUACAAAAAUUAGCCAAACGUGGUGGCAUGUGCCUGUAGUCCCAGCUACUUGGGGGGACUGAGAGAGGAGGAUUGCUUGAGCCCGGAAAGGAGAGGCUGUAGUGAGCCAUGUUUGUGCCACUGCAUUCCAGCCUGGGCACAGAGUGAGACCCUGUCUCAAAAAAAAAAAAAAAAAAAAGGAAAAGAAAAAGAAGCCAUCAAGCUGUGAAAAGACAUAGAGAAAUCUUAAAUGCACAUUGCUAAGUGAAAUGAGCCAAUCUGAAAAAGCUAUAUACUAUAUGACUUCAACCAUAUGACAUUCUGGAAAAGACAAAACUAUGGAGACAGUAGAAAGGUCAAUGGUUGUGAGAGAUUGGAGGGAGGGAGGAAAAACUGUGAAGAAUGUAGGGAAUUUUUAGGGCAGUGAAACUAUUCUAUAUGGUACUAUAAUGGUGAAUGAAUGUACUUAUGUGUUUGUCAAAACCCAUAGAAUGUACAACACCAAAAGUGAACUCUAAUGUAAACCAUGGACUUUGGAUGAUAAUAAAAUGUCAAUAUAGGCUAGUUGAUUGUAACAAAGGCAAGAGGUGUUAAUUGUGGGGAGGCUGUGUGUGUGUGUGUGUGUGUAUGUAUGUGUAUGUAUGUGUGUGUGGGAGCAAAAGUCAUAAAAGAAAAUUCUCUGCACUUUCUGCUCUAUUUUGCUGUGAACUUAAAACUGCUCUAAAAAAUAAAGUUGAUUUUUUUAAAAAGCAUGCUAUCAGUAAGCCACCCAGACUUCAAUCUGUUUCACUCUUGAAUGAAUUCACAUCAGGCAUCCUUUUUACAUAACUUUAAAUUGAUUUUUAAGAAUGAGACUUAGAAUAUAAACACUGAUGAUCCUGCCAGACAAAAAAGCUUCUUGUAAACAUAUAUACCAUUAGGAAGCAAAAGAAAGGAGGAAGUUAAACAAAUAAAAGAUACAUAACAAAUAGCUUCAUAUUUAAUGAAUUGAUCCCAGUAUGUCAUUUGGGACUAGCUGACCAUAAAAUAUCCUCCUACUACCCUUGAAAUAUUUUUUCUUGGGUCUUCAGCAUAAUAGCUGUGGAGCUACUGGGUCCAGUUACUGUAUUAUUGGGUGUUUUAUGGGUGCUAUUUGUACACUGUAUCUUUAUUUUAAAAACCUAUUUUGGCUGGGUGCAGUGGCUCACGCCUGUAAUCCCAGCACUUUGGGAGGCCAAUGUGGGUGGAUCACUUGAGGUGAGGAGUUGGAGACCAGCCUGGCCAACAUGGUGAAACCUCAUCUCUACUAAAUAUACGAAAAAUUAGCCAGGCAUGGUGGCAUGUGCCUGUAAUCCCAGCUACUCGAAAGGCUGAGGCAGGAGAAUUGCUUGAAUCCGGGAGGCAGAGGUUGCAGGUAGCUGAGAGCAUGCCACUGCACUCCAGCCUGGGUGACAGAAUGAGACUCCAAUUCAAAAAAAAACAAACCAAACCAAAACAAAAAAAACCUGUUUUGAGAAGUCAGCAAUGGUCAGUUCAAUAUUGGCCAUUAAGUAAUGCAAGCAUUGUAAUGUAAGGUUUGAUUAUUGUAUUUGUGUUACCUAUCAUUUUACAGUACUAAAUUCCCAUAAGCCAUGACAAGUUACCUUUACAAGUUACAUUCAUGUUUUACCUUUCUUUAUAUUGACUAUUCUCUGUUUAUAGAGAAGAGGUGAAUGAGUGAAAUAUUAGCUACUAUAAAAUAAUGGCUACCAUGUCCAUAAAAUAAUAGACUGCCUGGUCUACUAGAUGCCAGUAAUCAUAUUAAUAGCUUUAUAUAAUUAUCUCCUUUAAUCUUUGCAAAAAGUCUGCAUUAUAGUUCUCAGCCCUCUUCUAAAUUGAGGGAACUAAGGUUCAAAGAGAUCAACUAAUUUGGUCAAAGUCACACAGGAAGGCAGUACAGAGUAAUAGUUAAAUGCACAGUCUUUGUGGCCUAAUUCCCUGUGUUAGUAUUCUUGUUCCACCAUUUCCUAAAUCUGUGACCUUAGGCAAGUUAUCUAACUCCUUUAAUGUCAUUUUUCUCAUCUGUAAAAUGAAAGACUAAGUGAAAUAAUUCAUGUAAAGUGCUCAGCACAGUGGCUGGUACAGAGUGAGUACUUCAUAAAUGUUAGUGGUUAUUAAAAGUAAUUGUAUAUUACACAGUCAUUGUAUAUUCUUUUUAUUAUUACAAAUAGGUGACAACAUGGAUUUAAACUUAAGUCUCCCUGGCCCUGAAGUUCCCUUCUUUUCCUUUACUCAACUCUCUCUGUGUAAAUUUUUAGUCAUUGGUGAAGAGAGAACUGAUUCUCCUAAAUGGCUUUACCUCUGUGAAAAAACAGAUUUGCCAGUUUAUCAGUCAGGUUAGGCUAGGUUUGCUGCAUUAAUGAACAACUUUUAUAUAUCCUUAGUUUAUCACAAACAAGUUUAUUUCUCAUUUCCAUUUUAUGUCCUAUGUGGCUUGACUGGGAGACUUCUUUCAUUAUAGUCACCCAGGAAUCUAGGCUGAGGGAUGCUCCAUUUGCCGUAUGUUUUAUCAUGGCCAAGGCAGAAAAAAAGGGAAAUGGUGACUUCUGCACUGGUUCUUAAAUAUUUCUUUUUAGAAGUGACAAGUGCCACUGCUGCUUAUAAUUUCAUUGGUCAAAGCCAGUAGCAUGACCAGGUCUAACUUCAAGGGCUUUAGGAAAGAGAGGAGAAUUAGACAUAAGUGAGCAGCAUUAAUAACUACCACAGCGGCCAGGCACGGUGGCUCACGCCUGUAAUCCCAGCACUUUGGGAGGCUGAGGCGGGCGGAUCACGAGGUCAGGAGAUUGAUACCAUCCUGGCUAACACGGCAAAACGCCAUCUCUACUAAAAAUACAAAAAAAAUUAGGCAGGCGUGGUCGUGGGCCCCUGAAGUCCCAAAAACUCAGGAGGCUGAGGCAGGAGAAUGGCGUGAACCCGGGAGGUGGAGCUUGCAGUGGGCAGAGAUGGCGCCACUGCACUCCAGUCUGGGCGACAGAGCGAGACUCCGUCUCAAAAAUAAAAUAAAAUAAAAUAACUACCACAGCAAAUUGAACUUUUUGAGUUUCCUAAUUUGAUAUUUCUCUUUUUGAUUUCUAAAUUUCUUCUUAUGUGUAUAGAUUCACUUGGUAAAAACCUAAAGAUAACUUCAUAGAAAUAGUUCUCUUUCAGAGAGGUCCAUCGGAAUUAUCUGGAUACAGUUUCCAAAAUGAUGUGCCCAGGCCCCACUCAAGACUUAAUGAAUUGAAAUAUAUGAGAGUCAGGCUCUGGGCGUGUACAUUUUGAAAAACUCCUCGGAUGGUGCUGGCUUGCACUCUGUUGUGUUUAUGCAAUAGUAAACCGAUACGUGUUUUCAAGGAUCUUGCUGAAGACAGAUGGGAGGAAGCAGAGCUGAAAGGAUCAGAAAGAGGAAGGGACAAGGUAGAAAUUACGACUCAAGUGUGGCAGGGUUCUGAGCUCAGACUUAAGCUGUACUUACCUUAGAAGUUCACAUUGGGAGAUAUAUCUGGGCAUGCCUAGAUGACUGGUGGGUCAGUCAUCAGAGUUCCCUUUUUAUAAGGUAACAUGGAUCCUCCUGGGAAAAACUUCAUCUUAAAUUGAGAGACUUUUUUCCCCAAUAUUUAAUUGAAAAAUUUUUAAUCAUACGGAAGGUUGAAAGAAUUUACCCAUCAUUUAGAUUUGAUAGGUGCUAUCAUUUUGCUGUAUUUGCUUUAUUUGCUAAUUUUUAUAGCCACUGAUGAUCAUUACCUGAAUCAAUUAUUUCACUGAGGAGUGGGCAUUGGCAAAUGGUGAUUUUUCCGAUGUAUCAUUUCUUCUACAAUUAUUAUCUACAUUCUUCUAUUAAAAGAGAACUUCCCUUUAUCAAUUGGAGAUGAAGUAAAUUUUCCUAAAAAGACAUCAUAAAUGCUUCAUUAUUUUAAUUUGGAAAGAGUUUUCAGGAACCUAUGUUUGGUUUAAGGACAGUUGACCUACAUUGUAGUGAACAGAUGAGCUGAGUAUAGCAGAGGCUUGUGCAUAUUUUUCUACAGCCCAACCCUCAGAAUGCUAGAGCAAGGUAGCUGCGGUGAAAAAUAGUGUAGAAAUUACAGUGGCUAUAUCACUGAGGACAGAAAGACUUGGCAGCGUGAUCAGAGCUCACUGCAAACUCUGCCUUCCGGGUUCAAGCAGUUCUUUGCCUCAGCCUCCCGAGUAGCUGGGAUUACAGGCGCCUGCCACCACGCCUAGCUAAUUUUUGCAUUUUUAGUAGAGACGGAGUUUCACCAUCGUGGCCAGGCUGGUCUUGAACUCCUGACCUCAUGAUCCACCUGCCUUGGCCUCCCAAAGUGCUGGGAUUACAGGUGUGAGCCACUGCGCCCAGCCCAACAAGGUCCUGUCUAGGUAAAGGAAACGCAUAGGCGAAAGUGAUGGAUAGAAUUUGAAAAGCAGAGAAAAGAUGGCAAGUGGCUCAGAUUGAAAGAGAAAUUCCAAAUAUACUAGUUAACUAGUUGAGGGAACCAGAGAGUCUCUGGAUAUUUAAUGACAAGCUUAAAUAAGCUAAUCUCUGAUGGAAGUCAGCAUUGCAUGAAUGGUUGAAGGGCCAAAAACAUGAUAUAUCCCUUUAUAUGUUUAAGUGUUUUUUUGUGCUUCUCAAUGCCAUGUGAUGUUUUUUAUGGUAAAUACUGAGAUUUAACAAAAUAUAAAUUAAAAGUUUAUUCUUGAUACAAUUAAUAGCUCCUGAAAAGUUAAAAUGAUCUAGAAAUCAGAAUUCUUUUAAUCUAUACUGAAUGUAGGGGUUGUGGUUACUAAAAAUUAGUCAAACCAUAUUUGGGAAUUAAAGAAAUAAUGAUUGCUGGCCAGGUGUGGUGGCUCACGCCUGUAAUCCCAACACUUUGGGAGGCCAAGGCAGGUGGAUCACUUGAAGCUAGGAGUUUGAGACCAGCCUGGCCAACCUGGUGAAAUAUAUAUAUAUAAAUUUGCUGGGUGUGGUGGUGCAUGCCUGCAAUCCCAGCUACUUGGGAGGCUGAGGCAUGAGAAUCACUUGAAUGUGGGAGACAGAGGUUACCGUGAGCCUAGAUCGCACCACUGCACUCCAGCCUGGGUGACAGAGCGAGACUCUGUCUCAAAAAAAAAAAAAAAGAUUGCUUUUUCCCUUUCACUUACCCUUUUUUUUGGAAAGAUAAAACAAAGUGACUUUCUUAUUAUCUCAUGUUUCUUGUAAACAGUGAUUUCUUGGUAGAGAAAUAAAAAUUGUUUCUUAAUUGGGAGAAAAGAAAUUAACAGCUAUUGCUGUGGUUGGUUCUAUUUUUAUUAUUUAUUGGCUAAAUGUACAUAGACUGAAAGGAAAAUUAAAAGACAAACUAUUCACUAAAUCCUGGAAAACAGUAUAUGUUAUAAUCUGCAUUUCAUAAAAUUAAGGGAUAAUUUUAAACAUAUUUCCUCAAACAGUAAUAUAAUUAAGUUAUGCUUAGUAUUCAACUAAGUGAUUAGAAUUCAGUUGUAGUGGUACUUAUCUUUUUAAAAAAUAUAAAAGUUACCAUGUUUUUACAGAGUGGAAAUACAGUAAUUAAUAAAAGUGUUCCAUUGUGUAGGCUAUUUUCUUCCCCCCGAGUGAAGCUAAUCAGUUAGUUUCAUGCUCCAUAUGCAGUCGUUGGAUCAUUUUUAAAUGAUCAAUGAUCAUUCUUAAAUGUGUCAAUGAAAAGCGCCAAACUUUGUCAAAUAUUUGAAGAGAUUUAUUCUGAAACAAAUAAGGGUAGCCAUGGCCUGAGGCACAGUCUCAAGAGGUCCUAAGAACAUGUGCCCAAGGUGGUUAAGUUACAGCUUUAUUUUAUAGGUUUUAUGGAGACAUACACCAUCAAUUAUUACAUGUGAGAUAUACAUUAGUUUGUUCCGGAAAGGUGGGACAACUCAAGAUGGGGAGGGGAAGGAGGGAACUUCCAGGUCAUAAGAUUUUCUGAUUGGCAAUUGAUUGAAAGAGUUAUUAUCUAAAGACCUAGAAUCAAUAGAAUGGAAUGUCUAGGUUAAAAUAAGGGGUUGUGAAGACCAAGGUUUUAUCAUGCAGAUGAAGCCUCCAGGUAGCAGGCUUCAGAGCUCUUAUCAGACCUGAAAAGGUGCUACUCUCUUAGUUAAUUUUCUCUCCUGGAUCAGGAAAAAGACCUGGAAAAGGAAUGGGAAUUCUCUAUAGAAUGCAGAUUUUCCCCACAAGAGACAGCUUUGCAGGGCCACUUCAAAAUAUGUCAAAGAAAUACAUUUUGGGGUAAAAUACUUCAAUUUCUUUCAGGGUCUGCUAUCCAUUAUGUGAUGCUAUACUAGAAUCAGGCUGGAAUUUGGUGUCCUAUUGCUACAAAAAGUCUGUUUUGUCAGUCUUAAGAUCUCCGUUUUAGUGUUAAUGCUGGUCAGCUGUACCUGAAUUCCAAAGCAAGGAGGGUAUAAUGAGGCAUGUCUGACCCCCACUUCUCAUCAUGGCCUGAACUGGUUUUUCAGGUUAAUUCUGGAAUGCCCUUGGCCGAGGGGAGGGUCCAUCAGCUGAUUGGGGAGUUUAGAAUUUUAUUUUUGGUUUAUAAUACUAAUUAUAGUAAAUGAAUAUAAAAAUUUAAAUAAAAUAUUUAAAGCUGGAAUUUCUAAUUUGUUUUGAAAAUUUAAUUAAAUACUGGUAAACAUCUUAUAAAAAUAAAACUAAUUAUGACUCUAGAAUUAACACCCAAAUGUCAGUAUAAAACUGGGACCCCCAAACUCACUAUGCUAAAGAGAAUAACUUGCUUCAUACUUAUUACACCUAGACAUAUACACGCAUAGAUUCAUGAGUAAGUAAUAUGAGCUGGGCAUGGUUGGCUCAUACCUCUGAUCCCAGCACUUUGAGGGGCCAAGGAGGGAGAAUCAUUUGAAGCCAGGAGUUCAAGAUCAGUUCUGGUGUUACAGGAAAAGGGUCCUGAUCCAGAACCCAAGAGAGGGUUCUUGGAUCUUGCACAAGAGAGAAUUCAGGGCAAGUCCACAGAGUAAAGUGAAAGCAAGUUUUACGAAAGUAAAGGAAUAAAAGAAUGGCUACUUCCAUAGGCAGAGCAAGAGCCUGAGCUGCUAGUUGGCCAUUUUUAUGGUUAAUUCCUGAUUAUGUGCUAAACAAGGGGUGGAUUAUUCAUGAGUUAUCCAGGAAAGGGGGGCAAUUCCUGAAACUGAGGGUUCUUCCCCCAUUUAUUUAUUUAUUUAUUUUUAUUUUUAUUUUUGAGACAGAGUCUCACUCUGUCAACCAGGCUGGAGUGCAGUGGCACCAUCUCAGCUCUCUGCAACCUCUGCCUCCCAGGUUCAAGCAAUUCUCCUGCCUCAGCCUCCCGAGUAGCUGGGACUAUAGGUGUGUGCAAUCAUGCCCGGCUAAUUUUUGUAUUUUUAGUAGAGACGGGGUUUCACCAUAUUGGCUAGGCUAGUCUUGAACUCCUGACUUCGUGAUCUGCCCACCUCAGCCUCCCAAAGUGCUGGGAUUACAGGUGUGAGCCACUGUGCCCGGCCAGUCCCCUUUUGGACCAUAUAGGGUAACUUCCUGAUGUUGCCAUGGCUUUUGUAAACUGUCAUGGUGCUGGUGGGAGGGUCUCUUAGCAUGCUAAUGCAUUUAAUUAGUGUAUAAUGAGCAUUGAGGAUGAUCAGAGGUCACUCUUGUUGCCAUCUUGGUUUUGGUGGGUUUGGCCAGCUUCUGUACCACAACCUACUUUAUUGGCAAGGUCUUUAUGACCUAUAUCUUGUGCCGACCUCCUGUCUGAACCUGUGACUAAGAAUGCCUUAACCUCCUGGGAAUGCAGCCCAGUACCUCUCAGCCUUAUUUUACCCAGCCCCUAUUAAAGAUGGAGUCACUCUGGCUUAAAUGCCUCUGACACUGGCAACGUAGUGCGAUGCAGACUUAAAAAAAAAGGUAUUAGCCAGGCAUGGUGGCUCAUUCCUAUAGUUCCAGCUAGUCAGGAGGCUGAGGUGGGAAAAGCUCUUCAGCCCAGGAAUUUGAAUUUGCAGUGAGAUAUGAUUAUUGCCGCUACAUUCCAGCCUGGAUGACAGAGCAAGACCUUGUCUCUAAAAAAAAUUAAAAAAAACAUUUUUUAAGUGUAAUAUGAAUUGUUUAAUAUUACAGACUGUUUCUCAGCUACCAUGAAUAACAGUGCUGAAUAGUAUAGCAAUCAGUGAUUAUCACUGGAUAUUCCAAGUGAAACCUGAAGAGAAGCCAAAAAAAAAAAAAAAGGGACAUUUGACACUCUGAGACAUUGGUAAAGUAUCUAUUUCAUUCAUGCUCUCAGAGAGGAAGGAUUUGUCAAACUAUUUGUAUUUUCUCUUACUAAAGUGUUUCUACUUUUGUCCAAAUUUUCUCUGUUGUCCAAAGCACAGUCUUGGACAGCAGAGGCACAACUCACACACCUACAUAGAAUGCCAGGGUAGUCACCUUUUUUCUUUUUCUUUUUUUUUUUUUUUUUGAGACGCUCUGUUGCCCAGGCUGGAGUGCAGUGGUGUGAUCUUGGCUCACUGCAACCUCUGCCUUCCGGGUUCAAGUGAUUCUCGCGCCUCAGCCUCCUGAGUAGCUGGGAUUACAGGCGUGUGCCCCCACACCUGGCUAAUUUUUGUAUUUUUAGUAGAGGCGGGGUUUCACCAUGUUGGCCAGGCUGGUCUCAAACUCCUGACCUCAAGAGAUCCAACUGCCUUGGCCUCUCAAAGUACUGGGAUUACAGAUGUGAGCCACUGUGCCCAGCCAGUCACCUUUUAUUUUGAGCAAGAGCUGUGGAGAAACAUUUACUUGGAGCCUAAAUGAAGUUAGUGUCACAAAAGGGAAUGUUUAAGGUUAUAGAUUGCACUGUGGCAGCUCUGAGUGCUGGAUGGUGAGUGACAUACACCAGUGUGUUUUUUCAUAAGUUGAUAGCCCUCUCUUGAUGAUACAUAGGGCCCUGUAAUGUAUGGGGCCUAGGCGCCCAGUUCUAAGAUUGGCAUUGAGUCUUAGCAUUAAGUAUGCACAUGUUCAGAUCAUGCUCCUAUUUUCCAGUAGAGUAAUUAUUCCCACAGCUGUUUCUUUUACUUUUUCUUUUUCCUUUUUAUUGAGACAGGAUCUCAUUCUAUCACCCGGGCUGGAGUGUGGUGGUGUCAUCAAGGCUCACCGCACCCUCAACCUCCUGGGCUCAGGUGACUCUUCUGCCUCAGCCUCCUGAGUAACUGGGACCACCACUGCAUGCUAUACCUGGCUAAUUUCUUUUUAAAUUAUUUGUAGAGACAGGGUUUCAUUAUGUUGCUCAGGCUGGUAUCAAACUCCUGGGCUCAAGCAAGCCUCUCACCUCGGACUCCCAACGUGCUAAGAUUACAGGUUUGAGCCACUGUGUCCAGCCACACGGCUGUUUCUAUCAUUCUGUAUUCCAGAGAUCACCAGUUCUAGUCUUCUGCAGGGGUAGUUGCUCAAUGUCAUGAGUAAGAGAGGGGAACUACAGAUCUACCUCCUUUUAAGUUUUGUAUUAAUUUUUUUUUUAAUUUUGAAAUAAUUUUAGAUUUAUAAAAGAGCUGCAAAGAUGGUACAGAGAGUUCCUGUGUACUCUUCAUCAAGCUUCACCUGUUGUUAACAUCUUUCAUAAUCAUGGUGCAUUUAUUGAAACUAAGAAAUUAACAUGAGUAUGAUGCUAUGAACUAAACCAUAGACUUUAUUAGGAUCUCACCAGUUUUUCUGCUGAUGUCUUUUUUUCUGUUUCAGGAUAUCACAUUGUAUUUGGUCAUCAUGACUCCUUAGUCUCCAAUCUGUGCCAGUUUUUUUGGUCUUGUCUUUCAUGGCCUUGGGGAUUUUUGAAGAAUAAUGGCCAGGUAUUUUGUAGGAUGCCCCUUAACUUAGAUUUGUCUGAUAUUGGGAUUUAUCAUGAUUAGAUUGGGAAUAUGGGUUUGGGGGAAGAAUACUGCAGAGGUGAACUGCCCUUUCCAUUGCAUCAUAUGAGGGGUGCAUGAUAUCCACGUGACUAUGAGUGCUGAUGUUAACCUUGAUCACUUGGUUAAGGUGGUGUCUGAAAGGUUUCCUAGUUACUCUUUUUCCAUACUUUAUUCUUUAGAAGCAAGACACUAAGUACAGCCCAAAAUCAAGGAGUGGAGAAUUUAUUUUAAAACUGCAUUCUACCAAUCCUUAUUUGAUACUCCCCCACCCCACUUCCAAAAGUCCACUUGGUUCCUGAGCCUUUAGAAGAUUCUGUGGUAUACAUCAGCUUAGUUUUUGGCUUUUCCUACUGUAUCCUAAGUCAUUUUUCUGUUUUCCAGUCUCCACAAUUUUGUUGCUAUUGUCUCUUUUUUCUCUCUGUGAGUUUGUGAGUUUUUUUUUUUAAUCCCUUUACUGUAGCUUAGUGGGGCUUCGGAGAGAUUAAAACUGUAUUUUUAUGUUCAAUCUGCCUUCUUUAUUUGGAAGCUCUGGGAGAAAUAUUUUUUUUUUUGAGACGGAGUCUCAUUCUGUCACCCAGGCUGGUGUGCAGUGGCGUGAUCUCAGCUCACUGCAAACUCCACCUCCCAGGUUCAAGCAAUUCUCCUGUCUCAGCCUCCCGAGUAGCUGGGACUACAGGCACAUGCCACCAUACCCGGGUAAUUUUUGUAUUUUUAGUAGAGACGGGGCUUCACCAUAUUGGUUAGGCUGGUCCCGAACUCUUGACCUCAGGUGAUCCAACCCACCUCAGCCUCCCAAAGUGCUGGCAUUACAGGCAUGAGCCACCGCGCCCGGCCAGAGAAACAUUUUAUCAUCAUCAAAAUUGAUAUUUAAUCUGUGUUUAGAUUUGUCAUUUCUGCUUGUCAUAAUUCUGCCAUUGAUAUAAUACAUGAAAUUACUGAAUACUUUUUGGGCACCAUUGUUAUGUUUUGUAAAGCAUUGUGAUCAAUCAGAAAUUCAGUUCCCAGCUAGAGAAGAAACUCUUCUAGUAUUGGCUGGUGUGACUGGCCCUGAUUUUCAAAGGUAAAUUAGGGUUACUGCUAUAAAGCAGGGAUUACAAUGGGGUGCUUCUGUAUACUCCAAUGCCCAGUUACUAAGGUUACCAAAAAACAAAGUGGGUUUGGGCACCUCAGGAGUCAAAGUUUGAGUCAGUCCACCAGGCAAAGAACCUUAACUGGCAUAAGCUAGCCAAAGGCAACCUAAACUUGAAUGGGUAGAGGAGGGGAGUUACAAUAUCCACUAUGGUUUCUUGACCAGUUACAUAAAGGAGGACUGUAGCUCUCUGUGUAUCUGCUCUCUCUCCUUUCUUUUUCACCUUUUGUUUUCCUACAAUUUUAUAGAGUGUUUUGAUAUCAGAAAUGUUUACCAUUUAGUGACUGAGUUGCACUUUUUUAUUUUUUAUGCGUUUUUAUAAUUUUUAUUACUUUUUCAAUAAAGAUAAUGUAUCUGUUACUACAUCUGUGUAAUACAUCUGUAUGGCUUAUAAAUACCAUUCUAUACUGUACUCAGAACAGCAGAUACUGUUCUGUACUCUGCUUUCCUCGCUGCAUGAUAUAUAUUAGUGCAUAGGAAGAGUCCUUUUUUUCAGCUCUGUAGAUGUACCAAUAUUUAUUUAACCAAUGCCCUAUAGAAAAUGUCUUGGGUUUGUUUCUCAUUUUUGGCUUUACAAACAAUACUGCAGUGAAUAACUUCAUAUGAACCUCAUUGUAUAGGUUUGUAGGUAUAUUUGCGUAAACAUUCUCAGAAGUAGUAGAGUUGUAGAGUAUCAGUUUAGUAUUAUAAUAUAUCUAGAGUGGGAUUAUCUAUCAUCUGUUUUAAUAUGGACAAUCAGGAAAAUAGCAAUCAUUUCUAGUACUUACAACAGGGAAAAUUUAAUGCAGGAAAGUGGUUACCAGGUGUUGGAGGAACUGAGCACCUAAUGGAGAAAGGGGAGCAAUUCAGAUAUUAGUAACAACAGAAAACCAUUGCCUGUAGCCUGGAAAGACAAAAGAAGACAAGAAUCACUGAAUUCUGGAGCUGGAGGUCAUUUACUGGAGGCUAGGGCCUCUACGGACCUGUGUGAUGAGAACUGGAGCUGCUGAGGAGAUGCAGUCACUGCCAGAGAAGUGACUGAGUUAGAAGAGGAAGGGGGAGAAAUGUGCUGGUUUAUUCCUUCCCUCCUCAUCCUCCAAUCUUUGAGAAACCAGCUGAUAUGAGUCUGGGAAUCGCAGUCAAUGGAUCAACCCCUUGCGAUACAAAACAGAGCAGGGAAGGGCAAGGAAUGCAUUUGAGGACAAAUGGAUUCAGAAUCCAUAUUGUUCACCCCUUCUGCUACUCAGCAUUCAAGUUCACCCUUCUACCCAUGUUUAAUACCAUCAUACUUCUGUCUGUCAUACAAACAAGAGGAGAGACACCAAGUCCCAUCAAUCAUUGUAUCCAUCUCAAGUUUGGGAUCUACUGGUGAUCCUCAUUCCUUCCCAUCAGGUCUGGAUGUGUCUUUUUGUGGCCUGGUGACCUACGAACUAAAUUGUAAAUUAAGCAACCACUGACACUUUCCAUGCAAAACUGUGGGGGAAGGGGAAGGGGAAGGGGACAAAAUAGAAAUCGUUGGUUAAUAGAUACAUAACAAAUACACGUGAAUGCUACAAUUCUUGUUGCUAUAAAAAGUCGCAAGGAUGAAGUUGAUUUUUAUCAUUUCCUUUUUCUACCACUUAUUCCAUAUUUCCUUUGCUUUUAGCUAGGACUGCAAAUGGUUUGGGUUCUUUACUUGCAGGAUGAUUGUAUCAGUCAGGAUAAAGCCAGAACAACAGAAACCACACUUGGUAUUUCAACAGAGAUAAUUUAACAUAAGGAAUUGGCUACGGAGUUUUGGGGAACCAAAAAAGCAAAAAAAAAAAAAAAAAAAACCAAAAAAACAGGUCGGGGCAGAUAUUGAACAUAGAUAUAGUAACUAUAGGAAGAAGCUACCACUCCUAUGGCUGAGGACACAAAAGGAAGUUUGCACCAAAGGAAACUUAAAGGAGAGGCAUCUCAGACUUCUGAGGAGGGGCCACUGCCUAACUCUUGCUGGCUCAUUGAUGAGACAUGUUGAGGCUGGUUCUAGGAAUGCCAAAAAAAAGUUGAGUGUUAGAAAUGAUAGCCACUUGUCAGGAAGGAAGCAUAUCCUGUCUCACUCCUUCUGCCUUGAAGAACUAACAGGAAGCCAACUGGCAAAGUAGAAAUAUAGCUCUCAUAGUCCCAGCCCCGUGGUCAUAAAGAAGAGUAUAAAUGUGUGAGUUUGGACUGAGAGAAAAUGGCAUAACAACUGGGACAGCUCAUUACUUUGCUUACUCAAUAUUCAUGCACAACUUUCUCUGUAUAUUUGAGCUUCUCAUAUAGCAAUUUAAAAAUGGCAGCUUUUUCUUUAACAAGAUACAGCUACCCUUUGUAGAAAUUGACACUCUUGGCCGGGCACAGAGACUCACGCCUGUAAUCCCAGAACUUUGGGAGGCCGAGGCAGGUGGAUCGCUUGAGCCCAGAAGUUCAAGACCAGUCUGGGCAACAUGAUGAAACCCCAUCUCUACUAAAAAUAAAAAAAAUAGCUGAGCAUGGUGGCACAUGCCUGUAAUCCCAGCUACUCAGGAGGCUGUGGCACGAGAAUAGCUUGAACCUGGGGGGUGGAGGUUGCAGUGAGUGGAGAUUGUGCCAUUGCACUCCAGCCUGGGUGACAGAACAAGACUCGGUCUCAAAAAAGUAAAUAAACAUAAAAAAAUAAAUUGACACUCUCACCCUUUCCCCAUAAACGGAUGAUCCCAAAUUAUAUUAAUCUCUGGAUUAUGUGUUAAUUACUCCUCAAUUCAGUAAAGUCCCUUAUGAACCUUCUGUAACCUAAAGAUGAAAUUGUAAAGUUAACAAUUGCCAUUAAUUUUUAAAAUUACAGUGGGAAAGGAGAAGAAAAAAAGUUAAUAUAUACAGAAAUACAUAAAUACACACAUAUACAUUAAGCAAGUAAGAAAUAAUGCUUAGUUAUUAGUCUUUGUAUCUGUCUAGUCAUGAGCCUGUGGUUAGUGUCCCUUCCUCCCCAGCUCAUUUCAUGCUUCCUGUACUCUGAGCCAGUAUAUACCAAGUGGUGUGAUCCAAACUGUCAUUCCUGAAGGGUCUGAAUUGUCAGUGGUCCUGUCUUUUCUUGGUUAUCGUAGUUUACCAUUAACUUUUACUGUCAGCGAUGGGAAUAUAGGGGUGCCAUGUUGCCAUGAAUGACAGCAUCCCCAUAUAUAGUCCUUCGUGGCCUCAUUUUGUAGCAGCAACCCAAUGUUUCUUUAGUUGUCAGGAUCAAUCACUCCAGCCAGUAAUUCCCUUCUUUGCCCAUUGGUUCAGUUGCAUGUGGAGUCUAAAAUGGCCAUUUAGCUGUUAGAAAUUCAAUGGAAACUGUCUUGGGAAUAAAGCAGAGUUCAAAUUACGGGAAGCAGAAUUCUGUGAAGAAGUAUAACAGUGAGAGAAGCCACUUUCCCUUUUGCUCUUUGAUUACGGACUUGUGUCUUGUGGCUUUGGGAGAAAUAGUGCCAUACAUUGGUCAAUGGCUCAAAGCAUAUGUUGUUCUUUGAAGACAGUCCCAGCCUUACAAAAUGUUUCUCAGCUCAUGUUGUAACUGAGUCUGUAGUAGGCCAUUCCAUUGUUAUAUCGGGCCAGAUAUUUCUAGAUGGUGGGGUGUGCAGUAAGGCUAGUUAUUUCCAUGAUUUGCAAACUCUAAUUACACUUCUAAGAUGUGUUCCUUAGAAGCUGUGUUGAGUAGGAUACCAUGAUAUUGAGUAAGGAAUUAUGUGGUAGUGUUGGCAGAAACACAAUGGGCAGAAGAGGCAAAUCUAUACACAGAAUAGUUGUCUAUUCUAGCACAAACAAAUGGCUUUCAUUUCCAUGAUGGAAGGGGUGCUUUAUAAUCAACCUACCAACACAGAGUUGGCUGAUCCCCUUGGGAAAUGGUGCCAUAUUGGAGACUCACAGUUUAGAUUCUGUUCUUGAUAAUUUGGGAACUCAACAGUGCCAACAGUCAGAUUAGCUUGGUAAGGGGAAGUCCAUUUUGUUGGGUCUGUGCUUCAUUUCUGCCACUAUGGCCAUUUUGUACACAAGCCCAUUAAAACAGAAGAUGAGGAAAGGUGCUGACUGAUAAUCCCAGAACAAGUCACUUUGUUCACCCCUAUUAUUGAGGCCUCCUCUACAAUGGAUGUACCUUGGUAAGCACUCACACAAAUUCCUUCACAUUUAGUGCCCAUUCUGAAAGAUCUGUGCAUGUGUCUCUUCUUCAGUCUUCCUUGUUAUCAAUCUUCCAGGCUUGUUCUUUUCAAUUUCCUGACCAGGUGACCAAAGCAUUAUUCACUGUCCACAGAUGAGUGUACAUCUGUACCACAGGCCACCCCUCUUUCCUGGCUGAGGGGACUUCAAGGUAUACUGCCAAAACUUCUGCCCUCUUGGAGGGUUUUCCUUCACCAUUCCCCUUCAGUGGCAUCUCUGAGGGAGUAUACUGGUACUAGUGUAAUGUGGACACACUUCUGUGAACCAGGCCCAAGUUGGUUUAAAAAAUUUUUUAAAUUUUUUAUUUAAAAGAUUUUAAAUUGACACAUAAUAAUUGUACGUAUUUAUGAGGUACAUAGUUAUGUUGUGAUACAUACAAUGUAUAGUGAUCAGAUCAGGGUAAUUAGCAUAUCCAUCACCUCAAACAUUUAUCAUUUCUUUGUGUUGGGAACAUUCAAUAUUCUUUUUCUAGCUAUUUGAAACUAUAAGAUAUUGUUAAUUAUAGUCAUCCUAUGGUGGCAUAGAACACUAUAACUUAUUUCUCCUAUCUAUUUGUUUCCUUUAACAAAGCUCUAUCUCCCUCUUCCCCCUACUCUUCUCAGCCUUUAGUAUCCUUUGUUCUACUUUUUACUUCUAUGAGAUCAACUUUUUUUAGCUUCCACAUGUGAGUGAGAACAUGCAGUGUUUGACAUUCUGUUCCUGGCUUAUUUUGCUUAACGUAAUGUCCUCCAUUUCCAUCCAUGUUGCCCCGAAUUACAGGAUUUUAUUCUUUAUUAUGGCUGAAUAGUACUCCAUUGUGUGUGUGUGCAUAUAUAUAUAUA